GACGAACGCUGGCGGCGUGCUUAACACAUGCAAGUCGAACGGUAAGGCCCUUCGGGGUACACGAGUGGCGAACGGGUGAGUAACACGUGGGUGAUCAGUCCUGCACUUCAGGAUAAGCCUGGGAAACUGGGUCUAAUACCGGAUAGGACCACUGCCUGCAUGGGUGGGGGUGGAAAGCUUUUGCGGUGUGGGAUGGGCCCGCGGCCUAUCAGCUUGUUGGUGGGGUGAUGGCCUACCAAGGCGACGACGGGUAGCCGGCCUGAGAGGGUGACCGGCCACACUGGGACUGAGAUACGGCCCAGACUCCUACGGGAGGCAGCAGUGGGGAAUAUUGCACAAUGGGCGCAAGCCUGAUGCAGCGACGCCGCGUGAGGGAUGACGGCCUUCGGGUUGUAAACCUCUUUCAGCACCGACGAAGCGCAAGUGACGGUAGGUGCAGAAGAAGGACCGGCCAACUACGUGCCAGCCGCCGCCGUAA
rnacentral:rRNA from 1 species